AAUUUUUCUGCACCACAUUUGUUCCUGGCUUCUAUCACAUUUACUGAAUUUUCAUAUAUCAAUCUGUGCCUUAGGAGACCCACUCACCUUUACAAAAAUGUAUUUUUGAAAAUAAGCCUUAAGAACCUUCCAGACUCAGGGGUAGAAAAGGAAGGAAAAUCAGAACUAAGACAGGGUAUGUGCUGGAGAAAAGAGGGAGUCCUCCAAGAGACCAUAAAUUUCUUUUCAUUUUACCAACAUAUAGAUUCAUGUUGGCAAUCCACGUGGCUGCUGAAUCAUAGAUUCAUUUACAAGUAACCUGUAGGUCUUACAAAUAAAAAUUCAGUGCUGUAAAAUCAUUGUAUGGGCACAUAAGACCUGAGUAAAUCACACGCAUUUCAAAUCUUCUGGUCCUGGAGAUGUGCAGCACAGAAUCUGCAGAUAAAAGCAAUGCCAUCCAAAAUAUCAUCACUUUGGGGUCUGUGGAGACAGUGGUGGGGAUGUGAUGUGCUGGCGGCUAGAAUGAUAAUCUUCCACAUGUUUGGUGUUAAACAAGUCUAUAAAUCAAGGCUCCAGGAAUCAAUUUUUCCCAUGUUCAUUUUGGGGGACAGUAAGUGAAGCUUGUCUGCAUAACAUGUGAAUGAUUCAUAUUUUAGGCAUUUUCACCAUGCCUAAGAUCUCACUUGUCUCUUCCCAAUACAACUCUAAGGUUUUGUACUGUAAGUCAAAAGCUUAUGAAAAGGAGUUGAGAUGAUUUUGUGAUUUAUGAGAGGUAGCGACAAGCAUGGAAUGGAUGUGCUGUGACAUCUUCAGAAGAUAGUUGGUCACCUGUGACCACAGCAGACCCUUCCUGGUGAUUACAUUGUCCCUCCCAGUCCUUUCAACUGUUUUUGUCCUGUGCCCACCAGUGCUAGAGGCUGUGAAAAGCUGGUGUCUGCUGUCUUUAGGGAAAUCUGUGGAUUUCAUACUUGACUCACAGACAUCUAUGUUGCACCACUGAUGAUGCUAAUUUACAAAGACAGUUAAUACCGAGGGCUAUCAGUGUAUCUACUGAUCAUAUGCAUCUGGAGACUAAGAAAACAUCUUCACAAGAUGAAAAGAAGCAGUUUCCACCAGUGUGAAUCAGUCCUAAAUAUAUGAGGUUUUUGCUUCAUGGUUCAGCAUCUGUACUACUUGCUGCACCUGAAGACAGUUAUCAACAGUCAAAAGUCAGCAAGAAAUCUCCCAGCAACUUCAAGAGCAAAAAGAAAAGGUGCUGAACUACUAUGUAUCAUUCUCCCAACUCAGGGUUAAGCAACACAGUCAAAAAGUGGCAGCUACUCUUGCCCAUUUCAUACUCUGUGCUGAGAGAAUUUUUGCCUCCCGAUCUCUUAAUCUAGUUCUUAUCAGUGUUCUCCUUUCACUGAAAAAAAAUCCAAACCACAGACAAAUACAUAUCAGACUUAGCAAUAUACUUAACUGGAGAGAUGAAAAUAAUGUCAUCUAUGCCUGCCCAUUUAUCAGCAUCUUUGUUAUUCUGAGAAAUAGAGAUGAAAAGUUAAAAAACACCAAUGCAUUUCAACUCUGCCAUUUCUAGGAUUAUUCUUUCUGUGCAUGCUUCUCUGCCUUGCAGGGUAAACACAUAAAGCAAUGAGUAGACAAGAAGCACUCCCAGCAAAAGAGAAUUUACAAAUCUUCAAAUGAUGUUGAAUGUGAGUGGGCAGACCAUGACAAAAUGUUCGCACUUCAUCAAAUCUAACUAGUUUGCCACUACAUAUUUAUGCUAUAAACUGUGAACUGGAGUUCCUCUGUGGGAGAGUAACCUAAAUGAAAUGACAAGAAGCAAAAAGACAACUGCUUUUGCAGCCCAUUCCCUGAUGUGUGCUGAUAUAUACCAGACUCGGCCACCCCCUAUACUUCUGUGCUCAGUCUCUCACAACUUGACUUUUUUCUGUGAAGGCUAAUUAAAAGGCAAAGGCAUUAGAUCAAUGAAACACAAGGAAAAUUGCAGAAAACAUGUUGAGAAUGGGCACUCCCAUGAAUGAGGCAAAGAGAGAGGAAUAUGUUUACAGUUCUUUCACUGCUCCAAAGAAAGUUCACUAAGAUGCUACCAGAG